GGGCUUUUAUUUGGUUGUAACGUGGCUAAGGUAAGGGUGAGAUAAAUCCUAAGGGACUAGGAUAAAAUUCAAAGAGAUAAAAGAGACUUGAAAGAAACUGCAGGAGUUGAAUUUACAAAAUAUUUCAUUUACUUGAACAACUCUAUAGCAAUUGUUUUCUCUCUUCCUUUCUCCUUUUAUUCUUUUUCUUUUCUUUUUCAGAAGAAGAUGUAUUGAUUGACAUCCUUCUAUUUUUUUCAUUCAUUUUUUUUCUUUUCUUUUUUCUUUUCUUUUUUUUUCUUUUUCUACCAAUUUCUGAAAUGUUACAAAUAUAAUUAUUCAACCCCACACAACUCCAAACAAGACUCAUCCAACCCUUUGAAUAAAGUGAUAACAUUGUUUUUCACUUC
rnacentral:lncRNA from 1 species